rfam:Salmo salar isolate Sally breed double haploid chromosome ssa06, whole genome shotgun sequence.
CAUAAGACUGACUGUAAGUCGCUUUGGAUAAAAGUGUCUGCUAAAUGGCAUUUA